CUGCUCCUGUUGCAAGCCCUGGAUUAAGAAAUACCUUUAUUCUCUUCCCGUCCAGCUGCCCACUGGAUGUUCUUCAGUUGAAAAGAAGGAAGAUGUGAUUUCUUAGGUCAAAGAAACUGAUAUUCCUGGAAAAACAGGCCAGGGUCUGCACACUCAGACUCUCCUUCGAGCCUGAGCAGCAACAGGCAGCUUCCAGUUCUUCUUCAGUGCUGGUUUACCAGUUUGGGAUGGCAAGAUUAUUGUGGCUGUGAUCAUGGAAGAACCCAGACUCUUUGAUCCUCCACUUCUCACACAGUAGUUUAGAGUCUGGCUGCACUGUGGAGCAAGUCAGCUGGAGACCUGGGUGAGAAACUUGUGCUCAUUGUCAAGGGAGUGGUAGAAGAGGGAAGGAGCCUGGGCUCCAUCCUUGAGAGGUACUGGGGUUGUGACUGUCACUGUUGUGGUCCAUGUUCACCCAUAGCUCUCCUGAAAUAUUCCACAAUACCUUCAACUCUUCCUUUUCCACUUUCUCUGGUUCAAUACCCCUCCACAAAAUCUGUAAAGAAAACACAGCAUCCCCCCUCUGCUUUUCUGCUUUGCAGGGAAGCACUUUUAUCUCUGUUUCUCAUGGCCAGAAGAGGUUUGCUGGAGCUGUGAAGAGAACUGGGAGCCAUCCAGCUGAUACCGUGUCAGUACAGCAGCACAAGGUCCCUUCCCAGGCUAUUGGCAAGGCUGCAGACACCUGAUGAUGAUGAUAAUCAUGAUAAUAAAACCCACCAACAACUCAGGUGAGGGCUUAGAGUCAGAUCGAGGUUCUGGAUUUAGGGGAUGUCUUCAGUAAUAUUGCAAGAGAUGUCUCACAAGGGUGAUCUGGGAAGCGCUUAAAACAGCCUCCGAGGAUGAACUCCCCUUCAGGAUGUGUCUGUGGGGGUGAUGUGGGUGUUCGCUGGAUCGGGUCUGUCAGGCACAUUGGGAAUGGCCCGAAGGAGCACAGCAUCUUGCCCAGCCUCUGCUGAGGGCGCUGCAGUGACACGUGUCUGGGAUGCGGCUCAGCGACAGCAGAGCUGCAGCAGUGCCCGAGCACCACGCGAGGGCAGGGGAGCUCCGAGGCUGCUCCUGCAGCGCCACAAGGAAAGGCUCUUCCCAGCCCCGGUGUUGUAAGAACUGCAUAAACUCUGUGUCUGUCUCUG